rnacentral:rRNA from 1 species
GGCGGACGGGUGAGUAAUGUCUGGGAAACUGCCUGAUGGAGGGGGAUAACUACUGGAAACGGUAGCUAAUACCGCAUAACGUCGCAAGACCAAAGAGGGGGACCUUCGGGCCUCUUGCCAUCGGAUGUGCCCAGAUGGGAUUAGCUUGUUGGUGGGGUAACGGCUCACCAAGGCGACGAUCCCUAGCUGGUCUGAGAGGAUGACCAGCCACACUGGAACUGAGACACGGUCCAG